AGGUGCGAUCAUACCAGCGUUAAUGCAACGGAUCCCAUCAGAACUCCGCAGUUAAGCACGCUUGGGUCAGAGUAGUACUGGGAUGGGUGACCUCCCAGGAAGUCCUGGUGUUGCACCCU
rfam:Picea glauca, whole genome shotgun sequence.